rnacentral:rRNA from 1 species
CACGUAGGGCGCAAGCGUUGUCCGGAAUUAUUGGGCGUAAAGAGCUCGUAGGUGGUUUGUUACGUCCGCUGUGAAAUCCUAGGGCUUAACCCUGGGCUUGCAGUGGAUACGGGCAGACUAGAGUGUGGUAGGGGAGACUGGAAUUCCUGGUGUAGCGGUGAAAUGCGCAGAUAUCAGGAGGAACACCGGUGGCGAAGGCGGGUCUCUGGGCCAUAACUGACGCUGAGGAGCGAAAGCGUGGGGAGCGAACAGG